UUUCGGUGUGAUGUGGUGGUAAUUUCUGAUUUUAUGAAGAUGUAAUAAAUAAUAUUGACAAUUUACAGUGAAAAUGUUACAAAGAACUUUUGUCGUUUGUUUCAAGUAACGGGAUCAAGAAAAGUGCAAGAUGUAGAGAUGAAAACAAUUUAGAAAAAAUAGUUCUAAAGUGUACCACAACUGUAGCCGCUCUUAAGUGCAACGAUGACCGAGGCACAAAGCUGCACGCCGGGAGUAAUCCGUUUACCAGGGUCGCCGGCCGAGUCGGAGGAGGCCAGAGAACCGUCGUUAAACUCCAGGGAGUCCGGAGAUGAGGACUCGCUAACUUCGUCCACUUCCAAGUCUGCAACCGUUGAGGUCUUCACCCGUACUCCUGGGCAAGGGUUCUACGUUAUACCCCGCAGGUGCGGGUACCUAUCCGAACUCAGCCACCAUC